AUCUUUUUGCAGCUCAUAAGCAUGAUGACUGGGAGUUCACAUGUUUGUGUCAUAUUUGCUUCCAUUAAGUCCUGUUACACAGCACAUUACUUGCCUGAUG